rnacentral:lncRNA from 12 species
GUGUUCAGUUUGGGUAUCUAUUAAGAAAACAGCCAUUUCAUCACGGCUAGUACCGUAAAUUGGUUCGUGGAUGCCCAAGGCUCUAUAUCAUUAAAUCGUGUCGCUAUCUCUAAAUGGCAUUCGGGCGGUUUCUCUGGGAGCAAGGUUAUCUGCCCGCUUAGAACCUCCAGCCCGGAUUGGCGAGGCGCAGCUCUCUGCAGCCCUGGGCGAGACAGGCGGCGUUCCCAACCCCGCGAACAAUCCAGAAAGGCCUGCCGUCCUUCCAGGGCCGGAUGGGGUCAGGGUGCAGCUGCCCCUCGGCCCGCGGGCCCCGCCCUGGGCUUGGGCUGUCCCCGCGGUGAGAAAGCAGAUGGCUGAGCAUGAAUCACGGGCUGUCAUCUGCAGGGGCGACGUCACAGCUGGGGAGGGGGCUUCUGGAGCCAGAGCGACCCAGAGAGAAAUGUGCUGGGCCCUGCAUUAGCCGAGGUGCCUCCCUCUCCCGCUCGCUUGCUCUCUUUUUCUCUCACCCCUCGAACCUAACUGACUCGAAUCCCUCAUGAAAUCCCUAGCAUCUCCAGAGGGCAUCUCUGUCCCCGGUGGGAAGCCGUCGGCCUGCGCCUUCCCCAGCUGCGCCUUCAAAGGACAGAACCAUGGAAGGCGGCCUGGCCGCUCAAGGCCCUGGCAGGCGUUGGAAGACAGGCUCUCCGAGGGACGGGGCCUGUGGGGGGCACGCCACCAAACACGUCGUCAGCUGUUGGAGCCUUUGGAGGAAAACAGUAUCCCGUGAGCUCCCCUCCCCGGCACAUGAUGCUGUCGGGACAGUAAGCUGGAAGGAAACAAGCAGAGGAGAGUCUUCCAGAGACCCCAGACCGGAUGCUCCCCAGUGACAACGCUGGUGAGAGAGAAGUUCCCAGAACCAGGAACAAUAGCCGUCACUCUGCAGCCCUGAGGUCCUUCACCCCACUGGCCGGCAGUGACAAGACGGUGCCUUGCCCAGUACAGAAACUUUGAGGGGCUGCCGUCCCCACUCCCCAGCCUGCCAGGGAAGUCCAAACCCGUGGCCUGGUUUUGCAGGCCCUCCCCUGGGAGGUGGAAACCGCGAUGGAGAGUGUGGCUCCGGAGCCCAGGUGCAGUAGGACACGGGCUCCACCACCAUGCUCGGUGGCACCGCCCCCCGCACCCCUGUUCUUCCCCUGCCACCUGGAAGCCCUGGUGGAGAAUCCUUCCAUUGAGCCCCGGUCCUGAGGACUGAACGGUACAACAUGUCACACGUGCCAGCCACUCAAUAAAUGUCUCCUGUUGUUCCGUUGCA